rnacentral:RNase_P_RNA from 1 species
GCGGAUGGCUGGAUGGCUGCGGCGAGCUUCGUCGAGGAAAGUCCGGACUCCAAAAAGCACGGUGCCGGGUAACGCCCGGCGGGGGUAACCCCAGGGAUAGCGCCACAGAGAACAGACUACCCCGGUCCGCCGGGGAAAAGGUGAAACGGUGGGGUAAGAGCCCACCGCGCAAGCGGCAACGCAAGCGGCACGGCAAGCCCCACCGGGAGCAAUGCCAAAUAGGGACCUCGCGUCGCAAGACGGGGAUGCUUGAACCCCAGACGGUCCGGGUUGGCAGCUAGAGGGCGCUUGGUAACAGGCGACCUAGAUGAAUGGUCAUCUCGGGUGAAUUGCCUUUGGCAAAUCACCUAAGACAGAAUCCGGCUUAUAGGCCAUCCGCGCAU